GCCUUCUUGGCCAAGCGGUAAGGCGUCGCACUCGUAGAAGAUCUAUUUCCGAAAGAGAUAUGAUUGAAUACAAGUUAUGCGAAGAUCGACGGUUCGAUUCCGUCAGGAGGCA